UACGGAGGAUGCGAGCGUUAUCCGGAUUUAUUGGGUUUAAAGGGUGCGUAGGCGGAUUGGUAAGUCAGUGGUGAAAUCCUGCAGCUUAACUGUAGAAUAGCCGUUGAUACUGUCAGUCUUGAGUACGGUCAAGGUAGGCGGAAUGUGUAAUGUAGCGGUGAAAUGCUUAGAUAUUACACAGAACACCAAUUGCGAAGGCAGCUUACUGGGCCACAACUGACGCUGAGGCACGAAAGCGUGGGGAGCGAAC
rnacentral:rRNA from 1 species